UGGGGAAUUUUGGACAAUGGGCGAAAGCCUGAUCCAGCAAUGCCGCGUGUGUGAAGAAGGCCUUCGGGUUGUAAAGCACUUUUGUCCGGAAAGAAAUCCUUGGCUCUAAUACAGUCGGGGGAUGACGGUACCGGAAGAAUAAGCACCGGCUAACUACGUGCCAGCAGCCGCGGUAAUACGUAGGGUGCAAGCGUUAAUCGGAAUUACUGGGCGUAAAGCGUGCGCAGGCGGUUUGCUAAGACCGAUGUGAAAUCCCCGGGCUCAACCUGGGAACUGCAUUGGUGACUGGCAGGCUAGAGUAUGGCAGAGGGGGGUAGAAUUCCACGUGUAGCAGUGAAAUGCGUAGAGAUGUGGAGGAAUACCGAUGGCGAAGGCAGCCCCCUGGGCAAUACUGACGCUCAUGCACGAAAGCGUGGGGAGCAAACAGGAUUAGAUACCCUGGUAGUCCACGCCCUAAACGAUGUCAACUAGUUGUUGGGGAUUCAUUUCCUUAGUAACGUAGCUAACGCGUGAAGUUGACCGCCUGGGGAGUACGGUCGCAAGAUUAAAACUUAAAGGAAUUGACGGGG
rnacentral:rRNA from 1 species